rnacentral:rRNA from 1 species
UAGCCAUAUGCUUGUUUAAAGGAUUAAGCCAUGCAUGUGUAAGUAUUAAUGAGAGUUUAAUAGUGAAACUGCGAAUGGCUCAAUAAAACAGUUAUAGUUUAUUCGAUGAUAUCGAGGUUAUUUGGGAAUAACCGCAGUAAUUCUGGGGCUAAUACAUGCUUAAAAGGGAAAUAUUUCAAAUUAAAAAAAGGAUAUUUUACCUGUAUUUAUUAGACUUGAAAAUCGGAAAAAGUAGAAAUACUUUUUUUAUACUGUAGUUGAUCAUAAUAACUCAAAGAAUUCUUAGCAAUAAGGAUUUGACAAACGAAUCGUAUGACCCUUUAGUGUUGACGAUAAAUCGUUCAAGUUUCUGACCUAUCAAUUCAAGAAGGUAGUGUAUUGGACCACCUUGAUUGUAACGGGUACGGAGAAUUAGGGUUCGAUUCCGGAGAGGGAGCCUGAGAAACGGCUACCACUUCCAAGGAAGGCAGCAGGCGCGCAAAUUACCCAAUCUCAAUACGAGGAGGUAGUGAAUAAAAAUAACAAUCCGAAGCUUUCAUUUGAAAGUUUUGGAAUUGGAAUGAGAACAAUGUAAAUACCUUAACGAGGAACAAUU